rnacentral:rRNA from 1 species
UAAUAGUAUGCGUGGUUGUUGUUGCGGUUAAAAGCUCGUAGUCGAGGAUCUAAUGCAGAAUUCGUUCCGCAAAGCUACUGUAUCCGGGUUUUACUCGAUAACAGUAAGAUCAUUCUGAAUUAAUCAUGUUGUUAACAUAUAUUAUUUAUAUUUGAGUGUUGUUACAUGAAUGCUAGCAUAUCUUUUUAGAUUUGCAUUUUGAUGGGUAUGGUAUGAGUCGUUCGUAUUUAUCAGCUAGAGGUGAAAUUCUGUGAUUUGGUAAGGACGAAAUAUUGCUAAUGCAAGCGACUAUAGCUAAACUUUCGAUAAAGAGCAUAAGUUGAGAUAGCGAAGACGAUUAGAUACCG